rnacentral:rRNA from 1 species
UACGUAGGUGGCAAGCGUUGUCCGGAUUUAUUGGGUUUAAAGGGUGCGUAGGCGGCCCUGUAAGUCAGUGCUGAAAUAUCCCGGCUUAACCGGGAGGGUGGCAUUGAUACUGCGGGGCUAGAGUACAGAUGAGGUAGGCGGAAUUGACGGUGUAGCGGUGAAAUGCUUAGAUAUCGUCAAGAACACCUAUAGCGAAGGCAGCUUACUAGGCUGUAACUGACGCUGAGGCACGAAAGCCAGGGUAGCGAACCGG